rnacentral:rRNA from 1 species
UACGUAGGGUGCAAGCGUUGUCCGGAAUUAUUGGGCGUAAAGAGCUCGUAGGCGGUUUGUCGCGUCUGCUGUGAAAAUCCAGGGCUUAACCCUGGACCUGCAGUGGGUACGGGCAGACUGGAGUGCGGUAGGGGAGAUCGGAAUUCCUGGUGUAGCGGUGAAAUGCGCAGAUAUCAGGAGGAACACCGGUGGCGAAGGCGGAUCUCUGGGCCGUAACCGACGCUGAGGAGCGAAAGCAUGGGGAGCGAACAGG